UGCAACAUCUGCUGCUGUUUUACUGUUUUAUCUGAUAAAUGAUAAGCUGAUGCACAAACUGAAAGAGAAGGGCGAAACAGAAGCCAAUUCACACAUCUUCGUGGAUCCGAACGUUUAGUUUUCAUAGCACUGGAAGACAUUCAUUUUUAAGAUAUUAUUCCGAUGACCUUGCAGCGGCAGGAUAUUAUCUAUUUAUCAGUUUGCUGAAGGACGCCGCAUAAGAUCCUGAUUUGCAACAAUUUGCUGUGUUCACAAAGCCGUGGAUGCAGUUUUCACAAGAUCCAAGCUCGGCUUUGCAACAAAGAAUGCUUUCCCUCAAGGAUAUCCACUUGUGUUCAAGAGUAAAAGAUCAAUAAUGCAUCCUGUGCCUCUACCGAGCCCACUGAUAAAAAAUAAACAGUAUAUUUGUGAGGUGAAAGUAGCAUUUAUUGAUCUUUGUUAUCCCCUUCUCUGUGUUCAAGUCGAGGAAAACUGGUUCUAAUUGCAAACAUUGCUGUAAAAAAGGGCUCCUGUUUCUACGCACGUUCAAGCUGGUUGAAUAUGGAUGCUCUUACGCCUGUGAGCCACUGAAGGACGUAGCAACUAAGCCAAGUUAGUGAGUUGGUGUGAAGCGGAUUUCGAUCCAAAACGCACCAUUAUAACCAACGCUCCUGCUGCCCCUUGGUGUUUCCACAAAGCUAGCUUUGUUGUGUAAGCUAGCUGGUUUGUUGUCAAGAUUGUGGAAUCAUAUGUAAAAAAAGUAAAACAAAGAAAAUUUAUCUUUGAAUGUAGCAACAAAUGUGACUUGAGAUCUACUAAUCGGACAUUUUCUGACCAAUACCAGUUUCUGUUUGAAUUUACAAUUUUCCUUUUGACACCAUCAUUGUUUAAUGUUCUCAGAAUUCUUAUAUUUUAAUGGAAAAUAUAAGAAAGUUGUGGAAAUUCUUUGAUAAAAGAUGUCCAGUUGAAUCAAAAAACUAAUAUGUUAUGAAUGAAAGCACAUGUCCCAACCCAUGCAGUAUUUGAGGUAUUUAAAGUGAUAGAUGUCUACAAAUAGCAUAAACUUCUAACUUGAAAGUAAAAAAGUUUUCAAACUUUUUAUUAGAUAAAAAAAUGAAACCAUAAUAAAGGUGUGAUGUGCAUUUGUAUUCUUCGCCUGUGACUCAAUACUUCAUAGAACCAUCAAUCGCUCUAAUCACAACUGGAAGUUUACGACUGAAACUCAAAUACUUUCCUUACACAAUAUAUUGACUAACAGCAAAAACCUUCAUUAUGACAACUCCUCUACAUGAACUGGGCUAUUCAAAAAAAAAAACAAAAAAAAAAAACAUCUGCAGUUUGAUGAUUACUUUUCUACUUUUUUAUGUUCUUUUCCAAAGUCUGCACUCAUACAUAUGUAUAGUGCUGAUGCAGGCGGACAAGAGUGGGUUGGGAACAGCAUGAGGCAAUGUUGUGCACUGUGUAUAUCUAAUUGCCUGACCACCAACAGCUACAGUCAAUUUCAGAUCCAAAACUAAGUAUUUUUCCUGAAUUGUUUAGUGUUUCCCCGUCCUGAUGCCAUUUUCCCCGGAGCCCGGCGGACGAGGGGCUAACUGCCCGUCUAUCCGCGAAUUUGGCUCCGGAUCCAUUUCCCUACUGCCAAUGUUACGUCCGUGCGAUUACGCUGACGGGGAGGUGAUGGCGUCGCCCUCCUCCAGGUGUCUGAAUUGAAUGGGACGCAUUUGGUCAAGAAGAGGAGAAGGCUUUAGAUGGGGUGAACAUUUCUGAGGGGCUCUAAAUUUUCUCUUGGAUUUAACUAAGGAGUAUUUUUGUGUGAAGAUAUUAAGCUUUGUGAGACAUUUACAUUCACAGCCUUACAUCAAAGCAGAGUAACAACAUUUUUUUUUUGGACAGUUAUAUAAUUCAACAUUGUUUUUUUCUUUUCCUCUUUGAUGGAAAAUUUAAAUGACAAAAAAGGACAAAACGUUAAAAUACUAUGUUAUAAAAUCAAUUGUUAACAAUAAGGUUUUAAAAAAAUCCACAAUUAAACAGAGUGUUUUGCUUUUAACCUAAUUAUUAUUGAAAAUUGGUUCUUGUUACCAAGCAUUGAGACAUUUGAUCCCAAGCAGAAAUAAGUUGAGGGGUUUGUAUAUUUUUAAGGUCCUUAAAAGGUGUUUGAUCAUUUAACCAUUCAGUUCUUUUUAUUGUCUUAUUAGUAUAUUGUCAUGCUGAAUGUUGUUUUCUAUCAGUUUGCUUCUCUUCAAAAUGCUUUAUAAAAAAAAUUGUUAAUUUGCAAGAUUGCUAGUAUUUAAAGUCGCAACAAACUAGAACUAUUUUUGCCGUUGCAAUUUUACAAAACCUUAGUAAAAUUGCUAUUGUGGUUACUCCUUUGGUUUAUUAUACUAUUAUACUUAAUUAUUAUAUUAUAUUAAGGCUCUACGGUUUCUUUCCUGAUUUAAUGUUCUUUAAUUAAAUUACAGUCGAGUGAAAAAUAAAGUUCUUUGUGAAGAAAUCUUCACACAUAUCUUAUUGUUUCUUUUCUCUGAAAAAUAAACUAGCUUACUUGCACUUGAAUGGAACUGAGUUGAGUUGAUUGGAAUUGAAUUACCUUAAUUUAUUCAUUCUACAAUAGAUUAUCCACAAUGUCUAUUCUUCCUGAGGAAACAGCGAAAGAAAAGGUAUUUUACACAUGAAGAAAAGAGUGUUUAAAAAGGCAUAGAAAUCCAAAAAUCCAGCUGAAAUAUUUGAGUUUUCAGAGAGUGUCCCUGCGGCUAUGUGCAAAUUAAUAUCAGGUGGUUUAAUAAUAGCUGAAAGUGCAAACACAUUACACCGUCAUAAAGCCAUGGCCCUCCUAUGUUUCUGACACAGAAGUUAAAAUGCCAAAUCAAAGAGUUAUUAAAGAUCCAAGGGGCCUUUUGCUAUCAGUCACUGCACAGGACAUUGCAGCUGAAGAAAAAGUGCGUUAAAGGUUGUUUGCAGCAGAUUUUUGACGAGACAAUGAAGUACAGAAGGAAUAUCUUGAGGUCAGAUGAGGUUCAAGCUGAACUCUUUGAACAUCUUUGAACACACCAUGUUUGGAGUUAAGGACACCAUAAACCACUCUAAAACCACCUUGCCAAAAGUGGGCUGCUCUACAGCAAGCUGUACUAACGGAUUCAUGUAACUGAAGGGAGGAUUAAUGGAUAAAUGUACUGGGACAUUUCUUAUCAAGACAAAAAUCUAGACAAAAAACUGUUUGUUGGUGUUACUAAAUGUACCAGACUGGUCCAGUUAAUCACCUCAAUUGUCUGUAUGUUUUAAACCAGUGUUUCCCAAACUUUUUCAAGCCGAGGGCCACUUACCCCAUUUAACAAACAGUCACAGACCACCUAUCUUGAACUUGAUAUAUACAGCCUGAUAGUAAAACAUUAGUUUCUUAAGUCAUUGCGUUUGUUCUGCCUAAUGUGAAGGUGGCUCUGUUUUGCAAAUGUGAUUGGCCACAAUAAAACCAUGAACACGUCUACUUGGGGCAUUUUGAUUUAUUUACAGAUUCUGAAAGUAUGGAUUUGAAGCUUUCCAAUGAUAGAAAACAUAUGGAAAUUACUUUAUUGAUGACAUUUCAGGGUUAUUUGUAACUUAGAAGCCAGUAGAUAGUCCGACAUAAAUAAUUUUAUUUUAGGUGUUAAAAUGCAGUUAGUCAGUGUGGGGCACAGCGCUGUUCACCACCUUGCCACAGUCAUAUUGAGUUCAUUGCACUCAGCACAGCCGCAGACUGAGAUCUGCAUCCCUGCGCCAUGCUUUGUAUCCUAAUAAUAUUCAAAAACUAAAGUUCUGCAACUCACCGUGAGAAACUUUCCACCUGUAUCUUCAGUUUUUCUUUUUAGUGGCCCCGUUUUAAGCCAUUUAUCAAUCAUUAUUUCUUAACAGUCCUUUGGUAAGCUAGCUGUAGCGUCGCACUCACGUCACGGCAAAUAAACGGUUGUUUAUAUGCAGUACCUCGCGGACCACUAGGGGGCGCCCGCGGACCACCAGUGGUCUGGGGACCACAGUUUGAGGACUGCUUUAGACAAAUCUAUAGAAAGUGCAGAGAAAGGAAACCCAGAACCAUCAAGAACUUUAGAAUAAUGGCUCAACAUGACACAUGAGCAUUGGAUGUGACCAUAUAAAUAUAAAAAAUUUUCUUCUACUUAGUUCUUUAAAGAUUGUGUCCCUCUCUACAAAUUGUGUCCCUCUCUGCUGGCAGCCCAUUUAAUAUAUAUAUAUAUAUAUUUUGCCUUCAUUUAGGUCGCAGCAGAUGUCAUUGCCUAAAUGUAGACCAAAGCUAUUUUUGGUUGUUACAAAUGACUCUGCGAAGCGAUGGUGACGCAAGACAGAUGGAUCUGAUGCUUCUGCAGGGCAGAGGACUCAAAUCUGUGAAGUCUGAGAUAAAAAAAAUAAAAAGUUAAAAACAGAAGGCAACCAAGAAAGGACAGAGAAAUCUUUUAUGUUCACGUCUGAACUACCGAAAUAUGUUUAGACAAACGGUUCCGGUACAGACAUUGGUAUGACAGGUGUUUAAUAGAUAGGGUAUAUUUAUUUUUUUAUAUUUUCUGAGUCUGUUUGACCUGCAGCCAUUGCGUUAGUGGAUGAGCUGCUGCCCCUCUGGCUCAUGCACCCUGAGGAUGAACACACUUAGCCCCCAGCCCUGUUUACACGGCUCCAGCUCUGAAAAAGAACUGUUGUCUGCAGGCCAAGAGAUAAGCCCCUCUCACUGUCUCUCUUUUCAUUUCGUCUGUCUCUCGCUGCUUCCUCUUCUCUCGAUUUCUCCUUUCUAAAAGCUUUCAAUACACACACAUAUACAGACUGUAAGGGACAUCGUACACCCUGCUUUUCUAUUUUUUUUUUCUUUUUAAUGCUGACUAAAAGGUCCCCACUUAAACUUCCCAAUGAAUGGAUGGCUUGUGCACCCUCACCUGACUCUGAAAGUACCGACUGCGGGCGAAGCGCUCCAUCAGGCUGCCCUCUUUGCCAACGCGAACAGCUGAUUUUAGAAGUUGUCGUCUCCACUGCGACCUUGACAGGCACCGGGGGAACUAUUGCAGCCAUUCUCGUCAUUCCUCCCUCCCUACCUUCUUCUAAUCCUUCUCGAUGGCUCCGGAACCCAACAAGAACAGGUCAUACGUAUUAGGUCAAUUAGACACGUAUAGUUUUGACUUUUUUUUUUUUUUUUUAAGCUCGCUGCAAACGCACACAGAAUAAUAAAAGCUAAACCUGCAGAUCGAGGUCCGUGAUUUAUGUUUUCUUAGUCCUGGAAAAUGUAGCUUUGUGAGGGUCAGUGGAGACAUAAUUCUUCACAUUGGCCCAGUGCAUUUAUCGCUACUUUUGACCUUAACCUUUUUUCUCUCUGUUUUCUUUUUCUUUCUUCUUUUUUCUGAGUACAAUUGCAGACGAAAUGAAAAAGUAAUUGUAGUCAGUAUCCUGUCGUAGCUCGGCACCUAGUAAUGUAAAAGCAGCGUGUUGCAAAAUAAUCUGCGUGAAGUAAUUCUUAGCGUUUCUACCAACCAUCUUCUUUCUUGUGUGUAACAUCUGCUGGGAGCAUGAAAUCACUGAGUCAUAGUUGAAUUGAGGACAGCAGAGAGGUUUGACCUAUCAAGACUCCUCUGCUGUUUUGUACGUUGCCUCACAGAUAUGGAUUUUGCUGCAUCAAGGUGAAUGUAAUAUUUUUUGCUUAUUCCUUACAAGAAAUUCAACACGAGUCUAAAAAAGAAAUUGCCUUGUACAACAACACGAGCACACGUAGUACUGCUCCAUCCUGGCACUUUGUUUAUUACGCUGUCCUUGAUAUAAGGAAAAUCCAGUCCAAUAAAAUCCUUUAGUUUGACUGAAAUGAUUUCAGUCACGCAGAAAGUUGACAUCAGUGUAAUGUUUAAUUCAAGUGAUGAUUGUAAGCUGAUUAGCAGCUUUACUGUAAUGAAAUUAUCCAUUUAGUCAGUUUGUAGUAAUUGUAAAUGAUUGUUUUUUUUUUUCUGGCCUGGCGGGAUAAAGUAUACAUUACAAAUCAUUAGCACUGAAAGGGAGCAAUUUGUGCCACCUGUAGAUAACACCAGGAUU